AGGACGGCCGAAUGGUAGUAGUAUGAAUUUUAACCCGGCAGAGGUCCCGGAUGAAGUUCGGGAGGAGAUUAAGAAGAGGAUUGGGCGGAGGAUUAGGGAGCUGAGGAACGCAGUAGAGCAAUUGGAAGAGAGCGUUACGCAGUGAACAGGUUAUGUUUUUUUUUUUUUUUUUUUCCCCUCUCGUUACGUGUACUUGUACAUACAUUGACGAACAGAUGAGAGUUUUAUGGUUGCUGGUUCAGCAACUCCUCUAAACCGUGGGGCAUUUAGCUAUCCGUUCUAUCCUGUAUCAUAUGCUUGAUGAGUGGGUUUUUAUGUAAUGCCUGCUCAGGAUGUACAGGGUGUUUUUAAAACAGUUUUAACCCUGCGGCUUUGGCAUUAAAACGGCAGCAACCAGAACAACAUACCCUAAGUCAUGGUGAACAUGGUCAGGUGGAAAAGCUUCGGCAGUGGCGCCAACGUCUGAACCUGAACCAGAAAGAAAGAAGGAAUCCGUCCGAAUAUUGCAGAGAAACAUGCCUGAUCCCCCAUAGGUUGUUUUUGCAAAUGCAUAUGUUAGAACCAUGUUACUCAUGUCAAACUUUUAUUGCAAUCCCAUUUAUUAUUCGCCCC
rnacentral:sRNA from 1 species